rnacentral:antisense_RNA from 1 species
UGAUAUAACUUAGUCAUUAAAUGCAAGUCUGGCCAUAAACUUAUAUCUAUACCAAUUUGCUUGUUUCAGAAAUAUUUUUUUGCACCUUGGUUAGUUUUGUAAUUGAAGUAUUAAACAACUAUUGCAGUUUUUGACCUUGGAGCCGCCUAUGGUUAUGGGUGCAGUACAGCCUGUUCGCCUAGUCUUUUUCUCUGAAGUAAUUUGAAGGGAAUACGUACGGUUUGGCAUUAUCUGACUUUCGUCGAGACUAUUAGAUUAUUUGAUAUUGUCAUAAUUUCUACUUAUGUACAUGUCUAAUCAUGCUUGUGUACUCAGAUUGUUGUGGUGAUAGCACAGAAAGAGGUUAGAAAAGAUACCGAUGGUUUUCUUGCAAGUCAUUUAGCUGUUGUCUCAAGCUCGCAGCCUCAUGUUGCCAAAGCUGAGAGUAGGUAAACAAUGCAGAUAAGUUCUGAUUUCAUUUUCAGCUACAGAUUCAGAAGGUAGAAAACAAACGAAAUAUGUAAAUUUUGUGCAGUUUUGCGUCAUUGUUUUUGUCCACCUGUGGGGCAUUCGUUGUUGACGAUGAAAGUUAUGUUUCAAUUUCAUUCUGACAAAUAAUGUGCGUCAAGCAGUUGAUAAUAUCAAAUAUGAAUGGUGUUGUUCGCU